GACUUUCCAGAAAAUGCCUAUUAGAAAUGCAUUUAAAUAUGAGAAUUAGAAGGAUAUUGCAGUUUGUCCUGUAGCAAUACAGCAAGAGUUCUCCCAAAUUCGCUUGUUCUUUAGCGGCAAAAGGACUAUGAAAUCGUUGCAGUAGUAUUAAUAUCUGAACUAUAAUUUUCAUGCAAGAUGAAUACCUCGGGCACAGACUUAAAUGAAAUGGAGCUGAAAAUGUUGAAGGAGUUUCGUAAAGCCUUAUCAGAUGUCCUGACGCCGAAACACACAGACGCUAUACUGUUGAAAUGGCUCAGAGCUCGAAAUUUCAAUCUGAAAAAGUGCGAGUUACUCUUCCGACAGAAUCUAUGGGGGAGAGCUGUUUAUAAAAUAGAUACACUGAGAAGUAACUUUAUAAAACAGGAAGUUGCGGAGAAGUAUGAGUUUACGAGCUAUCUUGGAGCGGCUAAAGAUGGAACACCGUUGCGUUACAUAGCUCUUGGCAGAGGAGAUUUUUACGGUUUCUUAAUGAGCAUGUCAACUUUUGAUAUCCUCUUGUAUUGCACUUACUUAAUUGAGCAUGAUGUUCAAAGAACAAUAGAGCAAACUGAAAAGGUUGGAAGAGAAAUCAAUGAAAUAACAUAUAUUUUUGACUUAGAAUACUUUUCUGUUCAUCAGUAUGCUCAUGCCAGCGUUAUCGAAUUGGGGCUGGAUAUGGUAAAAAACGUGCAAGAUUAUUAUCCAGAAAUUUGGAAGAAUAUACUUGCAGUUAACGUGCCAUUUUUCUUCUAUCAAGCAUUUAACAUCUUGAGGCCGAUAUUAAGUAACACCCUUCUGCAGAAUAUUCGAGUUGCAUCGAAAGAGGCCACCCCGGAAUUAUUACUGGAAUACGUGGACCCAGAAGUACUGCCAGCUUUCCUGGGAGGUCAAAGAGUUGAUUCGAAAGAUGAUCCCAUGUGCUCCGAAUUCAUAAAAUUCGGUGGUAUAAUUCCUGAAGAGUACUACUUGUGCAAACAAACUCAUUUACAGAAGAAAAAUUUCGAAACCGAAACUGUGUGGAUUGCAGCGAGAUCUUACUACAACCAUCCAAUCGUUGUCCAAGAAACAGAUUCUAUAAUAAGGGUCGAUGUCAGGAUAGAAGGCGGCUCUCUUGCUACUACACUACUCUACAGACCAUUCGGCAAGGAUUCUGCGUAAGUAAAGACUGUUUUGUGUGAACAACAAGAAUAUUCAUAAUAAAUAAGAAUUUAUAGCGUCAUUAGAACAAGAAUUCCAAAUAGUAAAGAGAACCAGAUCUACGAAUGAAAGAUGAACGUUUAGAUCCACAUAAUGAGAAGCACAACGUUCUUUUGAUCAGCCCAUGUGUUAAGCUUCAAGCACAUCUGGCUCCUGUUAGUUAUCAUAACUAUGCUCC
rnacentral:misc_RNA from 1 species